AAAGAGGAAGAUUAUUCUGGAUUGUCUUGGUGGGUCCAGUACGAUUACAUGAGCCCUUAAUAGCAGAGAACAGAGGAGAGGAGGAUGUCAAAGUGAUUCUAUGUGUGAGAAGGACUUGGCAUAUAAUUGCUGGCUUGAAGAUGGAAUGGCCAUAUGGAAAGUAUGAGAAGGAGCUGAAUUUUGCCAACAUCCUGAGUGUACUUGAGCGUGUUCUUUUCCAGAGCAUCCAGAAAAGCAUGGAGCCCUGCCAAUCCCUUUCUUGUGGUCCUGUGAAACCCUAAUAAGAGAGUCAGGUUGGGUUAUUCUGUGCCCAGAAUUGUGAGCUACUGAAACUAUAAGGUAAUAAGUGGAUAUUGGUUUAAUUGCUUAAUUUGAGAUAAUUUGUUAUGAUAUCAAGAGAAAACUAAUACACAAAGUAAUCUAGAACACCUAGAAUCUAGGGGAGCAUGAAAGUAUCCUGCACUAACUGGGUGAAUCUGAGUUCCAGAUCAAGGAAGGAUGUGAGAAUAAUAAUUGGCUUUUGCACUGGCUAGGUGAAACCCCUAGAUUUCUCAGAAUUAUUAAAGAAGGCAGAGCCUGACCAAAUAUACUCCCACAAUAGAGAAGUAGGGCCUUGGAGUCAUAUUAAAAUAGAAUAAUUAGAGAGAUAGGAGGGUCUCCAGGCUGGCAAAAUGGGACUUAUAAACUAUUUGUAGAAAAAAAUAAUAUCUAUGUAUUGGGAGACAUACAUAGGGUCUCUUGUAUUUCUGCAUUCUUGCAAGCAAAAUCAUGGAUAUCUUUUCUUGCAGACAAUACUUUCAAGGAUGAUUGUAUAGGGAACAGCCCUGGAAUAUAGAGAUAUUGAUGUCUUCCUUUGGAGCAGGGACAAAUUUAUUUACUGACCAGCAUAACAGAGGCAAAACUUGCUUCUGGAGCAAAGUGAUUUAUAGGCACUGGAGUAGAACAGGGGAGUCGUGGAAAAAAGCAAUUAACAAG